CGCAGCCUCUUACUCGUUACUGCUGCAGAAAUUUAGUCAGAAAGGAGAACAAGCAGUUUAAGGGAGCAACCGCUCCAUAACCAAAGAACUGUGCAAAAGCAUGGGUGGAGAACCAGAAUGGUUGCGUAAUCAGAACCACCAGUUGCACUUGGAACCAUCAUGUAUUACCUCCUUCUUCGUCACCUCACUUUUUCUAUUUCAUGUUUCAAAAAAAAAGAAAAAAGAAAAAAAAACAAGAAUAAGGUGAUGGAGAAGGGGAAGAAAUCAAAGAAACAUGAGCCACUGGGAAGGUCGAGCAAGAGAGUGGGAUACCAAGCGGAAAACAUGAAGAGCAUGCAGAUGAUCUGAGCAGCCAGACGGUUGAUCCAGAUAGAGCAGAACAGUCGUUCCAGAGGUAGCAAAAACGAGUAGAGGCUGUGGACAUCAAUGGAUCUAUCCUCUCUUGCUAUUUUGCGCGAUAUCCUACAUCCUCUACAAAAAAUGGUAGCCCCUAAAUACUCUUAACUCCACCAUCAAAUAGCAUGUUCAAUACUUAGACCGUCUACCCUGAAUAAUGCUUGUGAUGAGAAGUUCACGCUACUCUUAAUUGAGUGUAAGGAGCUUUGUCUGGAAAGUGUAACUUUUGCAUGUUUGAGAUAUAUAGUAUGGAGCCGAUCUUGAACAGCAGCCAGUGAGAUUUUGGUAAGGUGUGUUGUCCUUGUUUUAUUGCUUGUAUGGUGCAGAGAUUCGUGGUUAAAGUAUGGUUGCUAAGAAUAGGAUAGUUCCCACACUUUCAAACCUUUCUCCAUGUUCUUGAUACUUGGCAUUGUUUGAGGACAAACAAGAAUCUAAGUCUGGGGGAAUUGAUAUGUUGAGUCUUCAUCGAGUCCUUUUAGUCUUUUUCGAGUCAUGACAGGUCUGGAGUUGCAUUGGAUGGGAGAUGGACCAGCUGGAACAAAAAAGGCAGAAAAGAGUACCUUUUGGUGACUUUCACGCAAAACAGUCUGACGAUUGUUCCCGAUCGCGCGGAACACCCCGGGUGCAUGUUCCAGCGGCAGAGAUUUUUAAUUAAACUACAAGUCAUUACUGAAUUUUUGUAAUGACCCGCUCCCAGAGUAUUUUUAAUUUCGAAGAAAAGAAAUCGCUAGAGGUUAUGAACCAACCCAAUUUCAAAAUUGGUUUAGUUUUACCUCAUUUUAUUGAAAUGAACCGGUUUGAUAGUUUUAUUAUUAUUAAACCAAAGCUUCCUCAAUCAUUUUAACCGUGUAUGUGUGCGUUUAUACCUAAGAAGCCUAAACAUUGUCCUCUUCCUUUGGAGCCGUCAACAUCGUGGGGGAGAGAGAGACAGCUCAGCCACAUUUUAUUUUUCCUCCCCAUUAACCUCUCCACCGUUCACCCACCACCUUCUCCUUCUCUCUCUAUUUUCCUUAUGUUCACGUCAUCACCUGAGAUCAAGCCGUGUCCCGCCAUCAUAGUCAUCAUUCUUAACCUAUCAGCACCAUUCGUUGCUGGAUUUAUCAUAGCCCACCGGAGCUGAGAUCGUGUUGACGGAGGUCCAUCAACGAGACCUUUGUGGACGUUAUGAACCGGGUCCUAGUGAUGGGCGUUAGCAAAAGCCAAGACUAAGGCGAAACCAGAGCCGUCGCGUCUUGACACCACCACCACCACCGAUCCACACCGCAGUGAACCUAAAGUCACCGGAAGUGCAUCCCAUUUCACUGGAGACGCAGCCAUGUUGUUGGAGAUUAAUCGUUAUCAUUGGACGCCAUUAACAUUGUCUCUUUGUGGGAAACAAUAUUUUCAUGUCAUGAAAAUCUAGUCGUGUUAUAUGAGGCAUACCCGUUUCCGAGAUUUUCCUGACUCAUUUCCAAAUUAGAUAAAGGUAAGGUUGAUUGUGUGGACCGGAGCGUGAGGCUAUGAAAACCAUCGGGAAAGAGUGUUUAGAAUUUGGGUAAUGUUUGGGAGUUUAUAAAGAUAUUUUUCUUGUAGACUAAAAGAUGUUCAGUAUUUAGUCUCGUAUUUUAUCUAUAAAGUGGCAGUAUUUCUUCGUUUUACCGUUAACAUUUGACUCGAUUUUUACUUAGAAUUUUCAAUGCGUUUUUCAAAUAUUUCCGGGUUGGGGUGUUUCAAUUUGCCCUAAUUAUCUCAUCUUUUUCUCCCAGCCGCAUGUGGCUUUGAUAUAUCUUCUUUUUCUCUUUCUUUUUAUUUUCUACACUAGUUUUUAAACAAGAAACCAUUGGAGACUUUUGUACUUGAAGAUUUGCUACCUUGAAAGGGAGAAGGCUUCAUCUCUCUCGUCCUGAGAAGAUUCCUGAACCAUAUCUUAUUUAUUUAUAUUGAUUAAACAUGUUUUCUUCAUCUAUUGUCUCUGUGAUUUCUCUGUUCAUGGCUGAGUAGUCCACUUGCUUAGUCUAGGGUGUUAGGGUGUUGGAUCCGUGAGCUAAACAUGAAUAAGUUAUAAAUCGAUUAUCUUCAUUCAUUACUGUUCUUAUUGCUUGCAUUAAACUGACCGCUUAAUGUUAGAUCCUAGGUUUAACAUGUUCAUUAACCGUGUAAUAGGUUCCUAGAUCUGUUAUGAAUGAGUAUUGCAUCCCUAAUCAGCGAAAGUAGAU